rnacentral:rRNA from 1 species
CCUACGGGAGGCUGCAGUCGAGAAUCAUUCACAAUGGGGGAAACCCUGAUGGUGCGACGCCGCGUGGGGGAAUGAAGGUCUUCGGAUUGUAAACCCCUGUCAUGUGGGAGCAAAUUAAAAAGAUAGUACCACAAGAGGAAGAGACGGCUAACUCUGUGCCAACAGCCGCGGUAAUACAGAGGUCUCAAGCGUUGUUCGGAAUCACUGGGCGUAAAGCGUGCGUAGGCUGUUUCGUAAGUCGUGUGUGAAAGACGCGGGCUCAACCCGCGGACGGCACAUGAUACUGCGAGACUAGAGUAGUGGAGGGGGAACCGGAAUUCUCGGUGUAGCAGUGAAAUGCGUAGAUAUCGAGAGGAACACUCGUGGCGAAGGCGGGUUCCUGGACAUUAACUGACGCUGAGGCACGAAGGCCAGGGGAGCGAAAGGGAUUAGAUACCCCGGUAGUC